CGGGGUGGAGUAAUGUCUGGGAAACGUCUCGAUGGAGGGGGAUAACUACUGGAAACGGUAGCUAAUACCGCAUAAUGUCGCAAGACCAAAGUGGGGGACCUUCGGGCCUCUUGCCAUCGGAUGUGCCCAGAUGGGAUUAGCUAGUAGGUGGGGUAACGGCUCACCUAGGCGACGAUCCCUAGCUGGUCUGAGAGGAUGACCAGCCACACUGGAACUGAGACACGGUCCAG
rnacentral:rRNA from 1 species